GGAAUCUUGCGCAAUGGGCGAAAGCUUGACGCAGCGACACCGCGUGGGGGAAGAAGGCUUUCGGGUUGUAAACCCCUUUUCUCGGGGAAGAGUAAGGACGGUACCCGAGGAAUAAGCCUCGGCUAACUACGUGCCAGCAGCCGCGGUAAUACGUAGGAGGCGAGCGUUGUCCGGAUUUACUGGGCGUAAAGGGCGAGUAGGCGGCUCGUUAAGUCUCAUGUGAAAUCUCUCGGCUCAACUGAGAGGGGUCGUGGGAAACUGGCGGGCUUGAGGGCAGCAGAGGAAAGCGGAAUUCCCGGAGUAGCGGUGAUAUGCGUAGAUACCGGGAGGAACACCCGAGGCGAAGGCGGCUUUCUGGGCUGUACCUGACGCUGAGGCGCGAAAGCAUGGGGAGCGAACCGG
rnacentral:rRNA from 1 species